rnacentral:lncRNA from 1 species
CACAUAAAGCAUACGUGUUAUCAAAUAUAAUCUUGAUUAGCUACUCCAAUAGCUAAUCAUUCUCAAACAUUUCCAUGCCAUCCAUGAGUUAUAUUAUAAGAUUAUAUACACAAAAGGAUUAUAAUGCUAUACAUGCCAUAUUCCCAAAAUAUGCAAGCCGCCAUACCGAGAUGGUCCGUUGAUAGUGUGAGCGUGCCUCCGACCGUCUUGAUCUCCAAGCCGGCUUGUCAAAACUACAAGGAAUGGAAGGGAAGGAGUAAGCAUAAAUGCUUAGUAAGUUCACAUGCAAAUAACAAUAACUUAACAAAGCAAUUAUACCAACCAACAUUAGCAUAAUAUCACCAAAACAUACAUCACAUUUCUAUUCAUCAUUCAUCGUCUUACUACAUUUUUGUUGUCGUAUCAAGUCUCAACCUGAGGGUUAAGUACAUACCUGUCGAAAGUGCCCAUUCCAGAACACUUACCAAUACGUCACUUGCAUCUUGAGUAUUUUUCCAUUUCACUAGAAUUUUACCCGUUGAACACAUCGGAAUAUAACUCGGAUACAUGGAAAGUUUGCACAUAAGUGCCACAUAUGUAGCCAAGCUACCAUGUAACCCGCCCAUAAGCGAACUUGGACUCAACUCAAUGAGCUCGGGUGUUCGCAUCCAUAAGUGAGCUCGGACUUAACUCAACGAGUUCGGAUGCUCAAAUAUCCUAAUCUAUUCCUAAGGUUCAACGGGACUUUCCUCGUUCGUACUCCAUUACAAUUCUCCUUGGAAUACCAAUGACGAUACUUCGGUAGUCUUUCACAUUUUUCACAUAAUUCAUAAAAUUUUUGCAUGUUAUCCAACAAUUACCACAAAGCAUAGAAUUGCAUGAUAACAAUCAUAAUAUCGUAUAAAUAGCAUUAAAUAAUUUAAAAUAAUGGUUAUAUUACAAUAUUUACAUAUGAACUUAUCUCGUAUGCGAAAAUGGUCAUUUUUACCAUUUUGUCCACAACUUGGUAUUUUACCGAUUUUAGCCCGAAUUUCGAUUUUCCUUGCUCUAUCAUUUCAAAUAUAGUCUAAUUAGGACUCAUAUUAUUUAAAUCAACCCAAAAUCAUAUUUUGGAAAAUUUACAAUUUUGCCUCUAAACUUUCACAUAUUUACACUUUUGCCCCAAAUCUCGUAAAUUAAACUUCAUCCUAUUUUCUUAUAUUUUUUGAUAUGCUGAUCAUUUUUCCCUUCUACAGCAACAUCCAAUUCUCACUCUAACAUGUACUUAUGAACAUUAGGUAUUUUUACCGAUUAUAUCAUUUUAGUCGUUUUUACGUAAAAUCACUUAGCAAAAGUUGUUUAACACAAUCUCAAGCUUCAUAUUCUACCAUAAAACAUCAAAAUUCAUACAUAUCAUUCAUGGGUAAAUUUUUAAAUAUAAACUCUAGCUCAAAAUAUUGGUAGAAACAGGUAAACUGAGCUAAGAGGAUUUCAAAAAUGUAAAGAACAUUAAAAACAGGCAUAGAAAUCACUUACAAUCAAUGCUUAAAAGUGUUGAAACCCUAGCUAUGGUGGAGAGAAAAAUUUGGCAGCAAC